CUCGCGUUGUCCCAAAUUUUUCUUCUACAGUCUUAGAAGGGAUUCAAGGGGAAAAUGUAAAGCCUAAUUUUACUUCUAUUUUGCGCAUUCAUUCUCUAUGUAAGAGUGAUUUUCCCUUUAAAUGAUGCAGAGGGAGUGAUCAGAAUUCCGGAUUCUAUGCGUGCUCAUCCUGGUCGGAAUCCUGCUUUUGAGGCCUUUGGCCAAAACUCGAAAUGAUGCUCAGAUGGUAUAGUGAGUUUGAAUGCAUUGGCAGCCGAGACAUUAGAGUGUAAAAUCAUAUAGAAAUUUUCUUUUUUCCCUGAGUUACUCCGUUUCUUCCAUCAUCCUUGCUUUUGUGCUUCUCAAUUGAUUAAUUUUUGUUAUUCUCGCCGGACUCGCACAUUAACCUUUGCACAAUGAAACCCACAUUUCAUUAUGGUCCGGAAAAAUAUAUUACAGAAUAAUGUUUGCCAUUCUUACUAACAAAAUUUAUUUUUCUGCCAAGUGGGAGUGGUUUUUGUUUGUUUGGACAGAGAAUUUUCCAUUGAUCGCCAUAGUUUAAUGGAGAAGUGCAACGCUGCAAGAAGGCUUCCUGAAACUGUACACUGUGUUUGCAUUAGCAUUCUAUGAUAGAAAAAUGUUAUCUUUUCUUGCAAUAGCAAGUCUAGAUUGAUACCUGACGACAGACGAUCUAUUCGCCUAACCAAAAAACUAUGGUAGCCACCAUCUUUAGAAGCAACAUACAUGGUAGCCACCAUCCUUAGAAGCAACAUACUGGUCAUCGCGAACCUCAAGGACGACUGAACGUUGGUGUCAUAUUGGGAACUUUGUGUCAUUGGAAGACUGGUUGGUUGAGGCAAUCGUUGGAGGCCGAAUGUACCUUGAUAAGAGUAUGUGUCUGCUACGUUAAAAAUAGGACGAGUAUUUAAAUGCAAUGGCAAGUCUUGUAGAUAAGGAUGUCAAUUGGGCCGAGCCGGCUCCGCUCGUCAAAGCUUGGCUCGUGGGCGACGAGCCCGAGCUCGAGCCGAGCGGGGGGUCUCGUCCAAAAAUGUGGAAAAAAAUAAAAUUUUAUCAAUCAAAUUUGAAAACUUUACGAAAAAAAUAAAUAAAUUCACGAGAUUACGAGCCGCUCGUGGGCUCUGAUCGGCUUGGCUCAUGAGCUCGUGAGUACACGAGCUCGUGGGCCGAAACGAGCUCACUCAGGAGCAACGAGCCGAGCCCGAUCUCGGCUUGUGAAAAACGAGCCACGAGCUCGGCUCGCCACAAGCCCGAGCCGAGCUCGUGGGUUAACGAGCUGAGCCGGCUCGACUCGACCCACUAUUAUCCCUACUUGCAGAUAAGCAUUUAUUUCUAGAAUUUUUUAAUGAUUUGAAAGGGACCACAGGGGGGUGACCGUAAGUUUUUUAAUAACAUGUUUAGGAAAAUAUUUUGAAAACCAUCACAUAAUCACCUACACUGAAAUUAUCUAUGCCUACGUUUGUAAAUUUCAUUUCUUAAAAGGAUAGUUGCAGUAGAGGUUUCAAACCUUUCAAACACUAGCAAACUUUUUUCAAACUUUUGAUUUGUUGCAAUCGUCACCCAUAAUCUUUUCAAACGUUACAGGUGUAACACCCAAUGGAUGGAAAACAUCCAUUUUACCGUUAAUUGACCAAAAAAUAGAGUUUGACCACAUUUUAAAUAUUUUUAGAAAGGACAAAAUAGUAACUUUCUAUUUAUUAAAUUAAAUAAUUAAAUUUAAAAAAUGAAAAAAGGGAGGGAAACUGUAUUUUCUUCCUCCCAUCCCUAAUUGAGCCAAAGUUUUUUGGCUGUUUUUGCUUACUGGAUUUUGCCAUGAAUCCGAAUAAAAUUGAAGAGGAUGUGUUUAGCAAAAUGGGUCCACUACCACCCCACCAUGAAUAGCUUAAUCUCAGGCUUCCACUGACGACGACGUCAUCGUCAGCAACACGAUGCUGAAUCUCCCCUAAUCUGUGAUCAGCCUCGAAACUCUAAUUCACUGGAUCUUGCUGCAAUUGAUGGUGUUAGGAGACAUUAGCGUUGCACAUUAGCCGGGUUGCUACGCCGAACGAGAUCCGAGCGGUGACUCCUGAUGACUUGCUGGCCAGCUAGAGAUUAGUGUGGAAGGACCGGAAUGAGGAUACCGCCUACUUGACUGCGUUGAAGCGUACCCAGGACUAGCUAAUUAUCAAUAUGGCUCACUCGGCCUCGACUGUCUCCAUUACUGGUAAUAGCUGUUUUCUCUGUUCCAAUCAGUCAGAGGAAUCUGCCUUGCUCAACAAUUAAAGAUAAGAAUUGCUCAUCUUUGUUGCACAAAGGGUAAAGGAAAUCCCAGUCUAGAUGGUAAGUCAAUGGAAAAAAACUGCAAGUGACUGGAAUGGAGGCGGCAAUAGAGUUUUGGUUGCGAUGGUUCUUUUGGUUUUCCCCCUUUUUCCUUUUUUUUUUCUUUUUUAAUUUAAUUAUUUAAUUUAAUUAUUUAAUUUGGUAUAUAGAAAGUUAUAAUUUUGCCCUUCAUAAAAAUAUUAAAAAUGUGGUCAAACUUAAUUUUUUGAUCAACUAACUGUAAAAUUGAUGUUUUCCAUCCUUUGAGGUUUCACCUGCAAUGUUUGAAAAGGGUUAGGGGUGACAGUUGAAACAAAUCAAAUGUUUGGGAAAAGUCUGCUAGUGUUUGAAAAGAUUUGGGGCCUCUACUGCAAUUAUCCCUUACUUAAAAGAUUUGUUUCCUCUGAUUUCAUCGUGUAAAUAUUAAGGUUGAACCCCAACUUUAAGGGCCUCCACCGCCUUGCCCUUGGAGUAUCGUGAGGGAGGUAAAUCACAGGAUGUACCCCCAGCAGACCAGGGAACGAGAGCUUGCCUGUACACUGGUACCCACAAAGAGUCCAAUUCCAUUCAUUUGCUGUGUAGGAUAGAAUGUUAACAAAAAACUGUGCAUAAUAUUGUCAUCAGAUUGACUGAAUGAGUGUCCCUCCUUCCUCAGGCUGGUGCAUUGGUGAAUGCUGGACCAUCCGUUUUUAUAUCAUCAACUGGUCCGAAUCCUAUAAUGGUUCAGGUGGUUUUUUAUUUGACAGAAUGUUUCUCCUUUUGUUUGUGCCACCUUCAGGUCAUAUGCUCAUUCUCUUCCUUACAAACCAUGCGCAGCCACUGCCGUUUCAACCAGGAGCAAAUUUUGGGGCAAAUUCAUUUGGAACUGUGCAGAAUGGCUCAGGAUUAUCGGGAGGAUCUAUUGGUUCCGGUUUUCUUCCAAGGAAUAUCGACAUCAGAGUACGAACAGGUGCUGUACCAAAUGUUAGCCAAAGGAAUUUUACUUCUUGACCUUCCACAAGGCCAGGAUUGUGGUGAAAAUAAUAAUAAACGGUGUAUGAUUUCUUAAUUAUUAUAAGAUAGAAGAACUUAUUUAUGGGGUUACAAAUAGUAAUAAUGCUAUCAAGCACUAAUGGUGUUAAGCACCAGUUUAAAUGUUAGCAUAUCAUAGGUCCUAUUAAAUGAGCCAUAAUUUUUGUACUUGUAAUUUAAUGCUACUAGUGCUAUCACCUAAACUGAUGUUAAAUAUCAGUGGUGCUAAUUAGCAUUACUCUAAAAGAAAAGAUUGUGUAAUAAUCUCAAAAUCAACUACAAAAGGAAAAUAAUCCCAAUAUUGGGAAAAUAUAAAAAAAGGAAUAAUAUCGCAAUCUUUUCAUAUCUCCAACAUCCAUACUCAAACUCAAUAUGGUGUCAUGGAAACCAAAUUGAGUUUGAAAACUACAAUGAUCCAAGCAAAUCAUCCUCUUCCAAAGGUUAAUUUCCCGCAGCUUGUUUGCGUUCGAAAGCGUGUCUUAUGCUUGCAUCACAUUUUAGAAAGUUAAGAAUUUGUUUUUUUAUCAAUCAAGCAUACUUUUGUUACCUUCCUCAUUAAUGAUCAAAUGCAAAUGUGAUGUUUGCAUAUCUAAAUACUGAACUCUGACUUCUAUCUGUUUUUCUUUUCACGCUACUUUUGCUGUCAGGUUCAUUGCUGUCCCGGAGAGAGGCAGCUGGUUUACAGCCUCAAGGACCUGGUGUUACUAUAUCUUCCACCAGUGGGAAUUCUGGUCAAGAGGCUGCCGUAGGACUAAACCCAAAUACCUCUACUCAGGAUUCUGAAGUGCGGACAAUUCCUCUCAGGACCAUGAUUGCUGCUGUUCCUGCUUCUGGUGAACAUGGUUCUGAUUCACCUCAUGGUUCAGUCGGAAUGGUAUACCCUGUUUUAGCUAGAGUUCAAAAUGUAACUUCUGGAAAUUCGAAUGGCAUAAGAGCUUCUCAGGAAUCAGAGCAACAUCGUGGUCAGGAUGCUGACACUGAACAACAGACAAUGUCCGGUUCUGCAACACAGCAGCAAAAUAUUGGAGUCCCUGGAAGAAAUGGUGAGCGUACAUAUGAUUGGACACUUUUGACCCCAUUCACGAUUACCAUCCUAUCAUUCUUAUUAACUAACCACAAUUAUUAUCUUUAGGCAGCGGUACAACUAGUGAAGCAUCCCACAGGCAAGGAUUCGCAGCGCAGAUUCAAAGUGGACUUGGAGAACUGCUGAGGACAAUAUUUCCAGGUGAGCAUAUUUUUGGUGACAGUGUUGGCCCACCUCCAGCUGGAGCAACCCAAGAUUCCAGCGCUUCUCAGGAGGCAGCAGAAACAGCUAGUCGUGAAGGGAUAUUUUUGUCUAAUAUACUACAUCAGAUAAUGCCCAUUAUUCAAGAAAAUAGAGCUGAAGCCUCUAUUGGAGGUGCAAACUCAUCUGAACCCCAGGUAAAGAUACUCAGGGAUGUAACUCCAUUUUAAAAGAUCAAUUUUGGGUUUGGCUCAGAUAUUCAAUUGCAAAUUUCUGCAAUGGAAAGUACUAUCCGUUGCAGUCCAGUUUCAUUGAUGGUUCAAAUUAAGAUGCUUGCAGUUUGGAGCUAGAGGUGAAUAAUGCUGUGGCUAAGCAAUUUUUUGCAUGUGCAGGCUGAUGAAGACCAAUAUCAAGGGGCUUCUUCUAGUCAGCAACGUGGUCCUGAAUCUCAACCAAGUCCGAAACGCCCGAGGGUAUUAUUUUCUUCAUUCUUUCAGUUCAUCCUCAUUUUCUUCUCACCUCGCGUUGUCCCAAAUUUUUCUUCUACAGUCUUAGAAGGGAUUCAAGGGGAAAAUGUAAAGCCUAAUUUUACUUCUAUUUUGCGCAUUCAUUCUCUAUGUAAGAGUGAUUUUCCCUUUAAAUGAUGCAGAGGGAGUGAUCAGAAUUCCGGAUUCUAUGCGUGCUCAUCCUGGUCGGAAUCCUGCUUUUGAGGCCUUUGGCCAAAACUCGAAAUGAUGCUCAGAUGGUAUAGUGAGUUUGAAUGCAUUGGCAGCCGAGACAUUAGAGUGUAAAAUCAUAUAGAAAUUUUCUUUUUUCCCUGAGUUACUCCGUUUCUUCCAUCAUCCUUGCUUUUGUGCUUCUCAAUUGAUUAAUUUUUGUUAUUCUCGCCGGACUCGCACAUUAACCUUUGCACAAUGAAACCCACAUUUCAUUAUGGUCCGGAAAAAUAUAUUACAGAAUAAUGUUUGCCAUUCUUACUAACAAAAUUUAUUUUUCUGCCAAGUGGGAGUGGUUUUUGUUUGUUUGGACAGAGAAUUUUCCAUUGAUCGCCAUAGUUUAAUGGAGAAGUGCAACGCUGCAAGAAGGCUUCCUGAAACUGUACACUGUGUUUGCAUUAGCAUUCUAUGAUAGAAAAAUGUUAUCUUUUCUUGCAAUAGCAAGUCUAGAUUGAUACCUGACGACAGACGAUCUAUUCGCCUAACCAAAAAACUAUGGUAGCCACCAUCUUUA
rnacentral:lncRNA from 1 species